UCCCUCACGGGGGACCUGCAUUUCAUGCUGCAGGCACAGGUACCUCAACUCAUACACCGCACAAGUAGGAGCCAGGUCAUACAGCUAUUGUUGGUGAGCUCCAGUUUGCUUCGGAGCUUUCCGAGUCGGUUCCUUAUGUUUUGUUAUUGUACAUGAGUCACGUGUGGGCGGGGGUUUGUCCCGACCCUAGUUAUGUCAUGUAUAUCCUAGAGGCUUUGUAGACAUAAGGAAGGGUAAAGUCAUGGAAGUUUAUAUAGUAACGUUAUAUUUGUAUAUGUGGUGGCCCCGACGGCCAAGUAUUAUAUAUAUAUAUUUGUGCGUGUUGUGCUGAUACAGGUAAUUAGACCUUUCUAUAUGCAACGAAGUGCUGUCCAAUUUUUUUGGUGACAUGUAAGUGAAAGUACAGGUAUUUGAACGGGUUCUCCCGGGCCUUCUCGGCUUCGGGUGCCAGUCCGGCCCGAUGGGAUUUUGGGGCGUGACAAAAGUGGUAUCAGAGAGGUUCGUCCUAGUGAGUCUACAAAGCCGUGUCUACGUAGGGUCUUGUUUAUCGGUGUGUUGUGCACCACAUCUAUAAACAGGAGGCUAUGGACAUUUAGGAAUUGUUUCUUUUCUUCAUGUCUUAGAUCGUGCGAUAGAGCUUAUAUUGUAUAUGAAGUCAUAGUUGACCACUGAAUCAGUUUGUUUCUCUUAUUAUAGUAAUGAUGCCGGUUACCAGAAGCAAGAAUACCGGUAAGCAAGUAGAUGUGGCUGCCGGAGAGGGGACUAGUAAGUCACCCACUAUACCAGCUAAUCAAAGUGAGGCUCCAGCUGAGCAUGCAUCAGAAACUUCCUCCAGUCCGGAAGAAAUAAGGGGGAGGAGAACUAUAUCCGCAGAGCCACCUAUUAAUGUUGUUGAUCAAGAUCUUAGAAAUGCAGUGCAACUUUUGACUCGUAUAGUUGCUGGGCAAGCUCAAGGGCAAGCCAUUCCUACUGCAGGUCCUAGUGGUAUAGAUAGGGCGGCUAGCCUUCGAACACAGGAUUUUCUUAAGAUGGAUCCUCCCACUUUUACUGGAUCAGAUCUUAACGAGGACCCACAGGACUUUAUCGAUCAAAUUCAAAGGGCCUUGGAUGUUAUGCAUGUAACGGGUAGAGAGACAGUGGAGUUAGCGGCGUAUAGAUUUAAAGGGGAGGCUAUAUAUUGGUAUGAGGACUGGAAACGAUCUAGGGGUAUUGAUGCACCCCCAGCUACUUGGAAGGAGUUCAAAGAGGCAUUUCUUGAUCAUUAUCUUCCAUUCGAGAUUCGUCAGGCCCGUGCAGAUCAGUUUUUAAAUCUUCGUCAGGGGAAUAUGAGCGUGAGGGAGUACAGUCUUCGAUUUAAUUCCUUGUCGAGAUAUGCUCCUAAUGUUGUAGCUACUAUGGUUGACAGAGUUCAUCAAUAUGUGGAUAGGCUAGAUCCAUAUCUGGUUAGAGAUUGUACUAUUGCUGCUUUGAACAAAGAUAUGGACAUAGCGAGAAUCCAAGCUUUUGCACAAAAAAUGGAAGAUCAGAGGCAGAGGAGAAGAACACAGGAAUCAGAAAGAGGAUAUUCCAAGAGGGCCAGAUCUACAGGGCAGUUCAUGGCAUUCGAAAGAGGGUUCAGACCACAGUUUUCUGCUAGACCACCUAGGCCAUUAUCCUCUUAUUCUACAGCUAGUGCCCCACCACAGUUCCAAGGGUUCAGAGGAAAUCAAUUUGGGCACAGAAGUGAGAGUCAGAGUUCGCGGACAGUGGGGUACCAAGGUCAAGGGAAUAUGAGCCAAUCAAGACCUCCUCGAGAGCCAUGCAAUAAAUGUGGAAGGUAUCAUUUGGGCGCAUGUCGGCUGGGGACCAAUGUUUGCUUUUGGUGCGGUAUGUCGGGGCAUAUGAUGAGGGAAUGCCCACGAAGGGACAUAGGGGGUAUGGCACGACCUACGGGGUCAUUUGUUGCAUCAUCAUCAUCGAUGCCUUAUUCAGGAAGGGGUGCACAGCCAAUGGGUCGUGUUAGAGGUGAUAGAGGAGCCACGAGUUCUAGCGGGGCUCAAAAUCGUACGUAUGCUCUAGCAGAUCGACAGAAUUUAGAGGCUUCUCCAGAUGUGGUUACGGGUAUGUUGGCUAUAUUUUCAUUCAAUUUAUAUGCCUUAAUUGAUCCCGGUUCUACAUUAUCUUAUGUUACUCCAUUGGUUGCUGGAAAGUUCGAAAGAAUACCCGAACUGUUAGUUAAGCCAUUUGAAGUGUCCACACCGGUCGGGGAAUCUAUUAUAGCUAGAAGGGUUUAUCGAAACUGCAUAGUAACUGUUUGUGGUCGUGAUACGAUGGCUGAUCUUGUGGAGUUAGAAAUGGUAGAUUUUGAUGUUAUAAUGGGUAUGGACUGGUUGGCGUCUUGUUAUGCCACAAUUGAUUGCUGCACGAAAAAGGUAUAUUUCCAUUUUCCAAAUGAAUCAGUCCUUGAAUGGAAAGGUGAAAUUAGCGUGCCAAGAGGUAGAUUUAUUUCUUAUUUUAAGGCGAGAAGAAUGAUUUCCAAGGGAUAUAUAUAUCAUUUAGUUAGAGUAAGGGAUACAGAAGCGGAGCCACCAACUCUUCACGCUGUUCCGGUGGUAAAUGAAUUUUCUGAUGUAUUUCCUGAAGAUCUUCCAGGUUUGCCUCCUGAACGAGAAGUAGAGUUUGGUAUUGAUGUAAUACCAGGCACCCAACCAAUCUCCAUUCCUCCGUAUAGAAUGGCCCCAGCAGAAUUACGAGAAUUGAAAGAGCAAUUGAAAGAUUUGCUAGAAAAGGGGUUCAUUAGGCCUAGUAUUUCCCCUUGGGGAGCACCAGUGUUAUUUGUACGCAAAAAGGAUGGCUCGCUGAGGAUGUGUAUUGAUUAUCGGCAAUUGAAUAAGGUGACUAUUAAGAAUAAAUAUCCUCUCCCAAGAAUUGAUGAUUUAUUUGAUCAGUUACAGGGCGCCAAGUGCUUUUCUAAGAUUGAUUUGAGGUCAGGUUACCACCAAGUGAGGGUCAAAGAAAAAGAUAUACCCAAAACAGCUUUCCGAACAAGGUAUGGUCAUUAUGAGUUUCUAGUUAUGUCAUUUGGGCUAACAAAUGCACCCGCAGCUUUUAUGGAUUUGAUGAAUAGGGUUUUUAAGCCAUUCCUGGAUGUAUUUGUGAUAGUUUUUAUAGAUGAUAUUCUAGUUUAUUCUAGAUCAGAAGAGGACCAUGCCAAUCACUUACGACAGGCAUUGCAGACUCUUCGUGAUUGUAAGCUUUAUGCAAAGUUCUCUAAAUGUGAGUUUUGGUUAAAGUCGGUGGCAUUUUUGGGUCAUAUUGUAUCUAGUGAAGGGAUAAAGGUUGAUGCUCAAAAGAUAGAGGCUGUGAAGAACUGGCCAAGGCCCACAACGCCUACGGAGAUUCGUAGUUUUCUUGGGUUGGCCGGUUAUUAUAGAAGGUUUGUCAAAGACUUUUCUUCCAUUUCAGCACCCUUAACCAAGCUAACCCAUAAAGCAUCCAAAUUCCAAUGGAAUGAUGCCUGUGAGAAGAGUUUUCAAGAUUUAAAGAACAAGUUGAUUUCUACACCCGUGUUGGUACUACCAGAAGGCACCGAAGGGUAUACAGUGUAUUGUGAUGCUUCCAGAAUUGGUUUAGGAUGUGUAUUGAUGCAGCAUGGUAAGGUAAUAGCAUAUGCUUCUAGACAAUUACGGCCACAUGAGAAAAAUUAUCCUACACACGAUCUUGAGCUGGCAGCGGUUAUUUUUGCUUUAAAGAUAUGGCGCCACUACUUAUAUGGGGUUCACGUUGAUAUAUAUACUGACCAUAAGAGCUUGCAAUAUAUUUUUAAUCAGAAGGAUCUAAAUUUAAGGCAGCGGAGAUGGCUUGAACUAUUAAAGGACUAUGAUGUUGAUAUCUUGUACCAUCCAGGGAAAGCAAAUGUGGUAGCUGAUGCGUUAAGUCGUAAGGCUAUGAUGGCGCCUAUAGAAAGGCAAGGGAUGGUUAAAGAUCUUCACCAGUUAGCUAGUUUGGGAGUUCGCCUUCUUGAAACUCCGAAUAAAGAGCUUAUCGUACAUAAUGCUGCGGAAUCUUCAUUAGUAGCUGAAGUGAAAGAGAAGCAAUAUGCAGAUCCUAUUUUAUUACAUCUUAAGGAGAACGUUCAGAGUGGUGCGACCAAGGCAUUUGAGCUUACGCGAGAAGGAGUACUUCAGUGCCAAAACCGAUUGUGUGUGCCGGAUAUAGACGGGCUAAGAAAGAAGAUUAUGACAGAGGCACAUUUUUCAAGGUAUUCCAUUCAUCCAGGAUCAACCAAAAUGUAUCAAGAUUUGAAAGAUAUGUAUUGGUGGAAUGACAUGAAGAAGAGCAUUGCAGAAUUUGUAGCUGAAUGUCCAAAUUGUCAAAGAGUUAAAGUUGAGCACCAAAAACCCGGAGGCUAUAUGCAAUGCAUAGAUCUUCCAAUUUGGAAGUGGGACAUGAUCAACAUGGAUUUUGUUACAGGUUUGCCUCGUACAGCUCGAAAAUUUGAUUCUAUAUGGGUGAUUGUGGAUAGGCUUACUAAAUCCGCACAUUUCUUACCCGUUAAGACCACUUACACAGUUGAAGAAUAUUCGAAGCUGUAUGUUAAAGAAAUAGUCCGAUUACAUGGAGUGCCAACUUCUAUUAUAUCGGAUCGGGGAACUCAAUUUACUGCAAACUUUUGGAAGUCUUUCCAACGGGGUUUGGGAACACAAGUGAAUCUGAGUACAGCUUUUCACCCUCAGACGGAUGGACAAGCAGAGCGCACCAUUCAAACACUUGAAGAUAUGCUACGAGCAUGUGUUAUAGAUUUUAAAGGCAGCUGGGAUGAUCAUUUACCUCUUAUUGAGUUUGCCUACAAUAAUAGCUAUCAUUCAAGUAUCAAAAUGGCACCAUAUGAAGCUUUAUAUGGGAGAAAGUGUAGAUCACCAAUAGGAUGGUUCGAAGCGGGUGAAACUCUUAUGUUCGGACCGGAUCUUGUGUAUCAAGCCAUAGAAAAAGUCAAGGUGAUACAACAACGGCUAAAAACAGCCCAAAGUCGUCAUAAAUCAUAUGCAGAUAUUCGGAGAAGAGGGCUGGAAUUCUCUAUUGGAGAUUGGGUAUUUUUAAAGGUAUCACCAAUGAAAGGGGUUAUGAGAUUUGGUAAAAAAGGGAAACUAAGCCCACGUUACAUAGGGCCAUAUAAGAUUACCAAGAGGGUCGGACAAGUUGCAUAUGAAUUAGAGCUACCCCAGGAACUUUCAAUGGUUCAUCCAGUGUUUCAUGUGUCAAUGCUUCGAAAAUGCAUAGGUGACCCCUCUCGUAUCACUCCUAUAGAAGAUGUACAGGUCACAGAGGAUCUUACUUAUGAAGAGGUACCGGUUGCUAUUCUAGAUCGCCAAGUUAAAAAGUUAAGGAACAAAGAAAUGGCAUCAGUAAAGGUACUUUGGAGAAAUCAACAAAGGGAAGAGAUUACAUGGGAAGCUGAGGAAGCAAUGAAAUCUAAGUACCCUCAUUUGUUCAAAGAUGAAGAGGAAGUUCAAGAAACGGAGUUAGAACAUUAACAAGUAAGUUUUUGUUUAUAUAUGCAUAGUAUUUAUGUGAUGAUGUGAAUGUUAAUGGUGGACUUGAACUUGUUUCGGCUAAAUAACUACAUUCACAUUCGAGGACGAAUGUCCUUAAGGGGGGAAGGAUGUAACACCCCGUACUUAAUUACGUGCAUUAGUCAUUGUUAUAUGUGUUGGGGUAUAUGUAUUGAUCCUAAGUUAGGUAUAUAUGAGUUUAAGUAUGAGUAUUGAUUAUUUUGAGAUGGUUUCAAGUGUAUAGUUUGAUUAUAGGUGUAUAGGAAUCGACUUUAUUUAUAUCGGAAUUUUCCCGUCGAUGGUUCCAUACGAAGGUUAUUGAAUAAGCUUUCCAACGAUAUAAAGAUUUCCAAAAACGGAUAAGUUUCGGAUAUAAGCGAGCUCGUUCGAAACUUUAAAACGGUGGCCGGGAUGUGAACAGUAAAAUGUGCAGGAAACUACUGAGGCCUGCCAGUUUUUUGGGUCAACUUUGAACGAUCAUAACUCCCUCAAUAUAAUGAACUGGUUGAGCUACCAUAUAUCAAAAGAAAGAUCUUUGAGUCUUCUUUCCAAUGAAAUUGGUUUCAUCCAAAUCCAACAUCUGAGUAAGGAGUUAUACUCGUUUUACUUCAGCCUCUCAAAACAGAUUUUUAGGGUCAACUUCAAACGAUCAUAACUACUUGUACAGGACGAACUGGGUGGAUUAAUUUAUAUUAAAUGAAAUACCUUUGAAUUAUCUUUCUAACGAUACCAAUUUCACCCAAAUCCGAUAUCGGAGCAAAGAGUUAUGGCCGAUUUACUUUAGCCUAUCAAAACAGUCCACCAUGGACAGAUUCGGAUUUACUUAAAUUUUUAAGGGCAAUAUGGUCAUUUUCCAUCACCUCUUGAACGAAAAUUGGUCAUUAUAUACAUAUACUUAGCCUCAUAUCCAUUAUUUAUCAUCCAUUAUUGAAAACUAAGAAACCCUAGCCAAAUUUCAACUCCAAUUAUCUUGUGAUUCAACCGUAGAAAAUCCAAAUUGAUUCCGUAGUUGUGUUCACCGUCUCAAGGGCUUCGAGAAGCACCCCUUAUUUGUGCCAACAGGACUUCGAAAUCAAAAGGGCCAUUUUUUUGGUAAGGAUGUAAAUUAUGUUGGUGUUAUUUAUAUGGAUAUGUAUAUAUAUAUAUAUAUGCAUGUGAGCAUAAGAAGUAUGUUAUUUGAUUGUUGUUGAAAGAUGAUUGGAAAUGAUGUUGGAUUAUUCUUGUGCAUGGUUGGAUUAUGUUAAAUUGUGAAGGAAUUUGGGGUGAUGAUGUGGUAUUGAUGAUGUGGUAUUGAAAUGAUGAUUAUAUAUAUAUACACACAUAAACCUAUUGUUCAAGUUGGUUUUUGGAAUGUUUUGCAAAUAUUGGUAGUAUGGAAUUAUGGAAGAGAAUUGUGGUGUUGGGUUGCUAAUACUAGAUGCCAAACAUUUCAUUGUAGAUAAGUGAUUUGUAAAGGCGGGAAGUUGUGUUGAAUUGGUAUCUGAAUCUACAACGAGGUAUGUAAAGCAUACUCUAACAAUGUUCUUUGGCAUGAAAACACCAAUGUUCCAUCAAGUAAGAUUCCGAGGUUGUCCAAAAACAUGUAUUGUUCUACGUUACCAACGAAGUUGUUUCCAUUCUAUAAAGUGUCAAAAUGUUUCAUUGAUAUACCAAAAGGCUCUUAUUUCAUUGUUGUGAUAUUGAUGAUUCUGAAACACAUUGUUGAUGUACCAAUGAGUCUUUAUUACAUCGUUAUUGUAUAGAAGGUCUAUUACUUGGUUCCUAUUGAUGUAUCAUUGUUUCAAAGUAUCAAAAAUGUGGUGGCGACCGAAAUAACAAUCUCAAAGAUUAAUUGAACUAAGUGAUGAAAGUUCUCUCUUAUCGGGUGGUAUCCCAGGGGCAUAAGCCUAGCAUGGGUCGAUCCCUAUUUCAUGUGUUUAUGGGUGGUAUCCCAGGGGCAUAAGCCUAGCAUGGGUCGAUCCCAGUUGAUAUGUACUGGAGGCAUCCUAAUGGUCACAGUACAGUACAGUAAUGAUUACAAAGACGAUAAGAACGAAGGUAAAGUGAUUGAAUAAAUACAAUGUACAGGUUGUCACAAGUUCUAGUAAGUGUGGUCCACUCCUAUUACGACUUAUUCACUUGUUUCUGAUUUCUAUUAAGCUCCUAUAUCAUAUGUGAUUAUUUACAGCUUUACAUACUCAGUACAUAUUUCGUACUGACGUCCCUCACGGGGGACCUGCAUUUCAUGCUGCAGGCACAGGUACCUCAGCUCAUACACCGCACAAGUAGGAGCCAGGUCAUACAGCUAUUGUUGGUGAGCUCCAGUUUGCUUCGGAGCUUUCCGAGUCGGUUCCUUAUGUUUUGUUAUUGUACAUGAGUCAUGUGUGGGCAGGGGUUUGUCCCGACCCUAGUUAUGUCAUGUAUAUCCUAGAGGCUUUGUAGACAUAAGGAAGGGUAAAGUCAUGGAAGUUUAUAUAGUGAUGUUAUAUCUGUAUAUGUGGUGGCCCCGACGGCCAAGUAUUAUAUAUAUAUAUAUAUAUAUUUGCGCGUGUUGUGCUGAUACAGGUAAUUAGACCUUUCUAUAUGCAACGAAGUGCUGUCCAAUUUUUUUGGUGACAUGUAAGUGAAA
rnacentral:lncRNA from 1 species